rnacentral:rRNA from 1 species
CCAAUAGCGUAUAUUAAAGUUGUUGCAGUUAAAAAGCUCGUAGUUGAAUUUUCGGCCUGGCCGGGCGGUCCGUCUUUGGCGAGUACUGUUCUGUGUCGGGUCUUACCUUCUGGUGAACCGGCAUGUUCUUUAUUGAGUGUACCGGGGAGCCAGGACCAUUACCUUGAAAAAAUUAGAGUGUUUAAAGCAGGCAUUUGCUUGAAUAGAUUAGCAUGGAAUAAUAGAAUAGGACGUUGGUUCUAUUUUGUUGGUCUAGGACCACCGUAAUGAUUAAUAGGGAUAGUUGGGGGCAUUAGUAUUCAAUUGUCAGAGGUGAAAUUCUUGGAUUUAUUGAAGACUAACUAUUGCGAAAGCAUUUGCCAAGGAUGUUUUCAUUAAUCAAGAACGAAAGUUAGGGGAUCGAAGACGAUCAGAUACCGUCGUAGUCUUAACCAUAAACUAUGCCGACUAGGAAUCGGGCGACGUUAUUUUCAUGACUCGCUCGGCGCCUUAUG